CAACAAGUGACGCUAACACCCGCUCCUCCAUACUUCAAACAUUUGGGGGAAUUUCCAGCUUACUUGGGUGACUUCUUAGACAUUUCACAUCUUCUCUCAUUCUGGUCUCUCUCACGGAAGGGUAUCUUUGGAACCAAAACCUCCUGCCGUAUGGCCAGGGGAAGAGGCCGUGGUGGAGAGGAGCAGAGAGAACCUUUCGUCCUGCAAGUGGGUGUUUUGUUUGGAGGAGAACUGGCUGGCUGUCACCUGAAGAAUCACCUGCAAGCCCCGGGAGCUGCCGCGGGGAUACUGAACAGUGGGAACCACUGCUCUGUCGGAUUUGAGGGCAUCUGCAGGUGUUGCAAUGGGACAGUGUUGGAUUUCAUGUGACAAUCAUCAUGGACAACAUGGAAAAAGGUGACAUUUUGAUCUGCUAUGACUGCUUGUGAGAAGCAAUGUCAAUUCAAGGAUGAAGAUGAUGCUUCCAAUAUAGCAAUGUUAUCAAUAAUCUUUUAAUAAAUUUGCCUUAUUUGAGGUUAACUGAA
rnacentral:lncRNA from 1 species